rnacentral:ribozyme from 1 species
CUACAAAGAAGAUAUCGAGACCCAGCUGUUUUCUUACAACACCGGUAUGGUGAGCCGUUUCGAAGAAGU